rnacentral:rRNA from 1 species
UGAACGCUGGCGGCAUGCCUUACACAUGCAAGUCGAACGGCAGCACGGGAGCAAUCCUGGUGGCGAGUGGCGAACGGGUGAGUAAUAUAUCGGAACGUGCCCAGUCGUGGGGGAUAACGCAGCGAAAGCUGUGCUAAUACCGCAUACGAUCUCUGGAUGAAAGCGGGGGACUCGCAAGGGCCUCGCGCGAUUGGAGCGGCCGAUAUCAGAUUAGCUAGUCGGCGGGGUAAAGGCCCACCAAGGCGACGAUCUGUAGCUGGUCUGAGAGGACGACCAGCCACACUGGAACUGAGACACGGUCCAGACUCCUACGGGAGGCAGCAGUGGGGAAUUUUGGACAAUGGGCGCAAGCCUGAUCCAGCAAUGCCGCGUGCAGGAUGAAGGCCUUCGGGUUGUAAACUGCUUUUGUACGGAACGAAACGGUCUGCCCUAAUACGGUGGGCUAAUGACGGUACCGUAAGAAUAAGCACCGGCUAACUACGUGCCAGCAGCCGCGGUAAUACGUAGGGUGCGAGCGUUAAUCGGAAUUACUGGGCGUAAAGCGUGCGCAGGCGGUUAUAUAAGACAGAUGUGAAAUCCCCGGGCUCAACCUGGGACCUGCAUUUGUGACUGUAUAGCUAGAGUACGGUAGAGGGGGAUGGAAUUCCGCGUGUAGCAGUGAAAUGCGUAGAUAUGCGGAGGAACACCGAUGGCGAAGGCAAUCCCCUGGACCUGUACUGACGCUCAUGCACGAAAGCGUGGGGAGCA